rnacentral:rRNA from 1 species
GCGGACGGGUGAGUAAUGCCUAGGAAUCUGCCUGGUAGUGGGGGACAACGUUUCGAAAGGAACGCUAAUACCGCAUACGUCCUACGGGAGAAAGCAGGGGACCUUCGGGCCUUGCGCUAUCAGAUGAGCCUAGGUCGGAUUAGCUAGUUGGUGAGGUAAUGGCUCACCAAGGCGACGAUCCGUAACUGGUCUGAGAGGAUGAUCAGUCACACUGGAACUGAGACACGGUCCAGACUCCUACGGGAGGCAGCAGUGGGGAAUAUUGGACAAUGGGCGAAAGCCUGAUCCAGCCAUGCCGCGUGUGUGAAGAAGGUCUUCGGAUUGUAAAGCACUUUAAGUUGGGAGGAAGGGUUGUAGAUUAAUACUCUGCAAUUUUGACGUUACCGACAGAAUAAGCACCGGCUAACUCUGUGCCAGCAGCCGCGGUAAUACAGAGGGUGCAAGCGUUAAUCGGAAUUACUGGGCGUAAAGCGCGCGUAGGUGGUUUGUUAAGUUGGAUGUGAAAUCCCCGGGCUCAACCUGGGAACUGCAUCCAAAACUGGCAAGCUAGAGUAUGGUAGAGGGUGGUGGAAUUUCCUGUGUAGCGGUGAAAUGCGUAGAUAUAGGAAGGAACACCAGUGGCGAAGGCGACCACCUGGA